rnacentral:lncRNA from 1 species
AUAGACUAUUGAGUUAUAAUACCGACCUCUUUAUAGGUAUAUAUUACAAAAAUCGAUAUAAGUAUAUGAGCGGGUAUAUUAAUGAUCUAUUUUUAAAACUAUUGUGGAAACCAACAUGUAGUUAGCUUUAAAAUUAGCAGCGGAUUAAUGUAUCUCAGUUGAAGGUGCAGAACUGAUGGAAGUGGGUGUGGUCGGACUAACUACUCUCUCUGACGUUACCUCGGUGACCAAGUCAGUUGUCAUCUCCACCGGUGAACCUGGUGGAGAAGCAGAACCUGAUGGAGGCUCCACAAUCUUACGAUCACCAAUCUGAGCAAACAGUGGAAUAGGAUCUUUCAUCACCUUGACCACUGACUCAUGGAAACUUGUGUCAUCUAGCAAACCUCUGAAAUAUAAAUAUCCAAUUUAAAGUACAAUAAAACAGGAUUAUAAAACAUUAA